rnacentral:rRNA from 1 species
ACGCACGCUGGCGGCGUGCUUAACACAUGCCAGUCGAACGGUGAAGCGCCUUCCUUUUUGGUGGGUGUGGAUGAGUGGCGAACGGGUGAGUAACACGUGAGUAACCUGCCCCCUUCUUCUGGAUAACCGCAUGAAAGUGUGGCUAAUACGGGAUAUUCUGGGUCUGUCGCAUGAUGGGUCUGGGAAAGAUAUUGUUUCGGUGGGGGAUGGGCUCGCGGCCUAUCAGCUUGUUGGUGGGGUGAUGGCCUACCAAGGCGGUGACGGGUAGCCGGCCUGAGAGGGUGGACGGUCACACUGGGACUGAGACACGGCCCAGACUCCUACGGGAGGCAGCAGUGGGGAAUAUUGCACAAUGGGCGCAAGCCUGAUGCAGCGACGCCGCGUGGGGGAUGGAGGCCUUCGGGUUGUGAACCUCUUUCGCCAGUGAAGCAGGCCUGCCUCGUUUGUGGGUGGGUUGACGGUAGCUGGAGAAGAAGCGCCGGCUAACUACGUG